GUCGCUCCCAUGUGCCCCUGCCGGGAAAUGGCGGCGGCUGUGCCGGUGCUCCCAGUACGCCUCAGGAAUUCCGUGAAGCACCGCUGUGCGGGAGGUGGGGGCCGGCAAUACCACAAUACCACUGGCGGGGACAACUGAGAAGGCAAUGACCAGGAUAUCAAGGAUAACUGGGGCGACAGUGAUGAUGUGAAAAGAAAGAAAGAGAAGUAAAACUAGAAGUAAAGGUUUCAGAAAAGAUAGAUCGAUAAAUAAUCGAUCGAUAGAUAGAUAAUAGAUAGAUGAUAGGCAGGUAGAUAAAUAGAUAAUAUUAUAUACAUGUAUAUGUAUAUGACUCGAGAAAGCCAAAGAGAAAUUACAGCAACUGGAAAAAAAAAACAUUAAAUUAAAAAGAUGUUAGGAGAACAUAAAGUGCUAACACCAAAGAACAAUUAGCAAACUCGACCGGGACUAAACUAAAGAAAUUCCAGGAAGAGUCAGACUUCAAACCAGCCAAAAAGACGUUUGGUGUUAAUACAGUUUAUGGAGCCAAGGCUCUGAACCCACUUUGGAGAGAUGGCUUCCUGGAUUUUGAAAAGUUACUAAAAAAUAAAAUUACACAAUAUGAAAAGUCACUGUAUUAUGCAAGUUUGGGGUAUCCUUAGAUGGAGAUGUGUGCCUUUUUUUAGAAGUUGAUGACUUGAAAAAGAUUACUGAUGCUCUGCAGUGACAAAAAGAAGCAAGAGAAGCAAAAACAGAAAAGUGUGGUUCCUGGAGGGGGAUUAAAGGAUUAAAGGCCACCGUUAAAGACGAGACCUCAUGUAACAUUUUAAUCUUCUCCUGGUGUCUUUUGGUUGCUCAGUCCUAUGGAUUGAAUAUUUGUUUUCCUCCAAAACUCAUACGUUAAAAUCCUAACCACAGUGUGAUGAUAUUAGGAGAUGGGGGCUUUGGGCCUUAACAGGUGAGAUGAGGGUGGAACCCCCAUGAUGGGAUUAGUAUCCUUACAAGAAGAGAAAGAGACUAGAGCUCUCUCCUUCUCCCCACAAAGUAAGGAUACAGAAAGAAAGUGGCCAUCUACAAGCCAGGAAAAAGGAGCUCUCACCAGACACUGAACCUGUCAGCAACUUGAUCUUAGUGUUCCCAGCCUCCAAGACUGUGAGAAAUAAAUGCCUGUUGUUACAGGCAUCCAGUCUAUGAUAUUUUGUUACUGAAACUCUGGUUCACUAAGACACUCACAAUCCCUUUGAACAUGUAGCACAACUUCCUUUCCCUUCAUUUCUGCCAAAUGCUGCAAUUAGAAGUGCAGUAUCUUUGUGCUUGCUAUUUAAUGUCUUGACAAUUAGGAGCUAAUGUAAGAAAGAGGAAAUUGGGUUUUGUUGCCAAGAGGUUAAAAUUUGGAAGUUCAAUUGCUACUAAAUCAUAGCGGUUUUUGUAAAUCCUAAUAAUGCUAUAAUCCUUAGUAUCUUAUUCCAAAAAGGCAGUGUCACUAAAUUGGAAACAAACUACGGCCAAAAUUGUAUUUACCAGCACCAUCCAGUAAUGUAGCCUGAACAAUACCUCCUUGAACUACUUCUUGUCAAGAAAAGCAGUUUGUAAAAAGGACAUGUGGUCUUCACCUACUUUAAAGUUACUUUGUCUAAAAAUUGAGUUGGAGGAUUCAAAACAUAGAUUUUGAAGAAGAGUGCUUAUUUUUGAGUGAAGUUACUGCUGCUGAAAAGCCACCAAUUUGAUACUUAAAUGAUUUAAAAGAAAAAAAAACUUUCAAACUUUGAAGCCCAAGAAAGUAAAUCAUUAUUGUAUUAUAAGCUGUGGAAUGUCUUGAGUGUCUAAUGCCUUAACUGUCUAGUUUAUAUUAAUCAGAAUAUUUCUACUGGUGGACCACUUCAGACAGAGGAGAGAGACUCUAUCUCUUUUAUUUGCCUAAUUUAAGUGUCUGAGAAACAGAAUCUCCUUUGUUCUGCUGGACUGUAAUGGAAGAACUUCAUCUGGGUUUUGGUAUUUUCCUUCCCUUAUAACAUGUGCUCAGCUAACUAUACUAUUAAUAGUUAGCAACAGUUUGCUGAAUUUUUAUGUUAACAGUUAUGAUAUUACAUUUUGUAAGGCAACUAACUGAAUAAAAUCAAUAAAAAGAAUACUUUGUUAACAA